UACGAAGGGGGCUAGCGUUGUUCGGAAUUACUGGGCGUAAAGCGCGCGUAGGCGGACCUGCAAGUCGGGGGUGAAAGCCCGAGGCUCAACCUCGGAACUGCCUUCGAUACUGCGGGUCUCGAGUCCGGGAGAAGUGAGUGGAAUUCCUAGUGUAGAGGUGAAAUUCGUAGAUAUUAGGAAGAACACCAGUGGCGAAGGCGGCUCACUGGCCCGGUACUGACGCUGAGGCGCGAAAGCGUGGGGAGCAAACAGG
rnacentral:rRNA from 1 species